GCUCGCGUAGCUCAGUUGGAUAGAGCACCGGUUUCCUAAACCGAAGGUCGCGCGUUCGAAUCGCGCCGCGAGCG
rnacentral:tRNA from 2 species